AAUUCAGUGAGGAGUGAUUCGCAAACAGAAAGCUUCAGGGUCGAAACACGGCAAGACUCCUGGAGCUUUUCUUUU
rnacentral:sRNA from 1 species